CUUUUAAGCAUCCAAUUGGCUCUUUUCUUUCUUUCUUUUUUAUGGUAGAGGAAGGAAAAGGAGCUGACUGGGCAGCUUGGAGG